CUCUAUGGCCAUACCACCCUGACCGUGCCUGAUCUCGUCUGAUCUCGGAAGCUUAAGCAGGAUCGGGCCUGAUUAGUGCUUGGAUGGGAGACCGUCUGAUUAGUACUUGGAUGGGAGACCACCUGAGAAUACCAGGUGCUGUAGGCU
ensembl:rRNA 5S_rRNA 5S ribosomal RNA